GAGAUGGAGUUUUGCUCUUGUCACCCAUGGUGGAGUGCUGGAGUGCAACCUCAGCUCAGUGUAACCUCCGCCUCCCGGUUUCAAGUGAUUCUCCUGCCUUAGCCUCCCAGGUAGCUGGGAUUACAGGCACGUGCCACCACACCCGGCUAAUUUUUGUAUUUUUAGUAGAGAUGGGGUUUCACCAUGUCGGCCAGGCUGAUCUCGAACUCCUGACCUCAGGUAACCCACCCGUCUCGGCCUCCCAAAGUACUGGGAUUACAGGCGUGAGCCCGUGCACCUGGCCUAUGCUAGAAUUCUUAAAUGUCAUAAUAAAUUGCAAGCUAUUGGAAAAGCCUUCAGCUGGAUUUACAGUUUGAGGUGCCUCUGCCUGUAGAAGUUUCCUUGGAGGGGCUGGGUGGUAGCUCAGGUGCAAGCCCAAGUGUGCUCUGGGCUUCUGGUGGGUUACAGGCUGGCUCUGCAGGUUGCUGUCUGCAUUGGGUCUUAAAUGGCCAGGCUAGGGGAUGACAUGGAGGAAACGUGUGGCCUGUGGUACUUUGGGCUGAAUCCUGUCCCUCCAGGCCCCUCGCUGUCCAGAAUUGUUGCAGUCUUUGGUAGGACAGAAAUGCCCUCUCUGGCCGGAGACCAGCUGUAAGCCCAGGCCGGCUUCUGCUGUGAUCUCACCAUAGGAGGCCCGUGAGAAAGGAGUCCGCACCUUGGCUCCCAGCUUGGGGCAGCCCCGUUACUCUGUGACUUCAGUCACCAGACCACAACUCAUGGCUUCCCUCAGUAUCCGUCUCCAUCCUGUGGACUCCACACAGUGUGGGCGAGGCAUUGGUGGCCCGCCCUCCUCCCCGCGCAUCCCCACGGCCGGCGCUCACGUUUCCCUGCAGCCUGGAGUUGCUCCAUCACGUAACUGUGGCUAACUUUCGGGUGCACACAUCUGGAGUUAAAAGAAGCGCCUGGGCCGGGCGCGGUGGCUCACGCUUGUAAUCCCAGCACUUUGGGAGGCCAAGACAGGCGGAUCACGAGGUCAGGAGAUUGAGACCAUCCUGGCUAACAUGGUGAAACCCCCUCUCUACUAAAAAUACAAAAAUUUAGCCGGGCGUGGUGGUGGGCGCCUGUAGUCCCAGCUACUCGGGAGUGGAGUAGGUGGUGCACAGGUGAUGAGGCCCUUGGCGGCUUUGGGCUUUGGCCACCACUUGUGAGACCAGGAAGAGUGUUGCCUCAGUCCUGUGGAACUGUCAGGCUUGGAAGAGGAGACUUUCUGUGGGUGGGCAGCAGCUGUUUCUCUGGAACAGCAUCCCCCGCUUGGCCCUGUGGAGGGUCCAGGUUCUCUGGGACAGCGUCCCCCGCUUGGCCCUGUGGAGGCUCCAGGUUCUCUGGGACAGCGUCCCCCGCUUGGCCCUGUGGAGGCUCCAGGUUCUCUGGGACAGCGUCCCCCGCUUGGCCCUGUGGAGGGUCCAGGGCACAGGGGUGGGCAAUGGUGUGCUUCGGGGUGAGAAGUGCCUGGGUUCGGUGUCCAGCCCAGACAGGAGGGGACGUCCAGAGCUGGUGUCAUGGUUCCCCUGCCUCCCCCAAGUGCCGGCUUCUGCCGUGAUGUUCUCAUCACGGGAGGAGACCUCAAGGUGCAGUUUGCUGCUUGGGCUCGUCCAAGCUGGGCUAACGUAGCCCUAGCCUUCUCCAAAGAUGGUGGCAGGUGGCAGGUGAGGUCAUUCCUCAGUCUGGGUACAGGUGUGCAGGAGGGUGGCCUUGACGGGGCCUCAGAAUACCAGGUCCCUAGGCCAACUUGCUCUGCCAGGCCUCAGGGAUGGGAUGGCCUCCCUUCCCCCUCCCCCUUAUAUUUUGGGAAGCUUGCUGCACCCUGGGGCUGGGCGUGAGCACCUGGAGGUGCAGGGACAAGCAGCAGCUUGGGGCUGGGGUGGGGGCACAGGUGUCUGUCUUCACUAGCUGGGGACACUGCAUCCCUGCAGAGGAGCGGUGAGAGAGGGACUCUGGUCCCAACAUCAAGAAGAGCUGCUUGAGGUGUAUUCGAGGGGGUGGUAUGGGGUGGUGGCUGGUGAGGUGACGGCAUUCCUUUUUUAAAAAACUUACUUUGGAAAUAAAGUCAAAUAUACAGAAAAAUUGCAAGAGUAAGCAUAGUAUAGAGAAUACUCUUCACCCAGAUUCACUUAUUGUUAAUAUUUUGAUCCCUUUCCUUGAUCAUUUGGUUGCUGUGUAUGUGUCUGCAUGUGUAUUGCAUGUUUGUGCAUGUACUGUGAUGCUUAUGUGCAUGCGUGUAUAUGUGUAGAUACAUGUAUGUAUGCCCGUGUGUGUCUGUGUGAGAACGUGUGUGCAAUUGUGUUUGCCUGUGUGUGCCCGUGUGGUGUGUGCACGUGUGUGCCUGUGUGUGUGCCUGUGUGGUAUGUCUGUGGUGUGUUGUGCACAGGUGUGUGCCUGUGUGGUGUGUGUGCAUGUGUGUCUGUGUGCCUGUGUGGUUUGUGUGCUGGGGUGGCAUUUGUUUUGGGAGCCCUGGGCAAGAACAGGAGGAUGCAAAGCCACUGCUCUCCACCCCUCUCCCCUGCCUACUGCAGAGGGUGACUCCUCCCUCCUCCUCCGCAGGUGCAAGCCCCUCAGCCUGGUGGGGUCUGGGUUCAGUGGGAGCCUCAGAAGUUGUCUGGCUUCUUCCUGCUGGGUCCCCUGGGGCUGGGCCCUCAACCACCUCUUCUGAGCUCUGGGCCAUCCAUCCUCCUGGCGAUCAUCCUCCUGGCGAUCCAUCCUCCUGUCACCAGCCCCCCUGCCGAGGUCCUCAUCUCGAGUUGUUCUAGUUUGACAACUUAAAAGCCUCAACAUCCCAAGUUGCAGGAUGGGGAGACAAUGGGGGGGUCACUGAGGUCGUGGCAAGGUCUGGAGGGGCCACACCAGUGGGGGACCCUUGUCAUCACCAAGGAGAGCAGUCCCCAACUUGGGGGGGUUGUUCAUGGAGAAGCCAGGCUGGUUGGGGGAAAUGACGAGUCCAGCAGGUUUGGUUUUGCAGGUGGACCAGGCCGGGGGUGUGCUUGGGUGGAGGCUGGGCGGGGCCUCUGCCUGUGUACGAGGUUGGAGGGGUGUGGGCAGGGGGCAAGGGGUGCCAGGGCUGUGUGGAGCAGCCUGGCGGAGCAGGGAAGUGGGCCCCACUGUGGGAGCACGGUGCAGCAGACUGCAGGCCUGGGGACAGCCGGAGAGCUUUGGGAUGUGGGUGUGGCCAGGAGCACGCUGGGAUUUGCGCCCUGGAAGAGUAGCACCUGUGGAACGGUCCCACAUGGGACAGUGGGUCCUAGAGGAGUCCCGGGAGGGGGUGUUUCUGUCCUGGGGGUGGUCGCUGUCCCAGGCACAAGCUCUCCUUUGUGGCUGGGGAAGCCCUGGGCAGUAGAGUCCGUGGAGUUGGAGGUGGGUUUCAUCCCUGCAAGUGCACAGAGUAAAGGGAGUGCCUGCAGCCUGAGGCAGGAGUCCCAGGAACUGGGCCAGGACCACAGCCCCUUCUGCCUUCCUGAGAGGCACUGAGGGGCCCUGCCCCCUGGGGUCUGUGUAAGCCUAGGGUAGUCUCCUUGU
rnacentral:lncRNA from 1 species